GUGGCCGCUUGAGUCUCUUGUUUCUAAUGAAACACUCUCUCAUCUUCUCCUCCACCUUCUCUAUCGCCGAGUAUCUCUCCUCUUCAGCAGGCUCAGCCUCUCCUUUCUCUUCUUCUCCUAAUUGCAUCGGCUCCACGGAGGAGAAAGAUUUCUCAGCUUCCGCCGUUGGUAUGGAGGCUAGGAAGGCAGAGAGGCGUUGGUGGGCUAUGCGGAGAGAGGAAAUUUGGAGUAACUGGUUCUGUCCAACGGUGGUUCCGAUUUGCUGUGCCAUUAAAGUUGCUUGCUCCAGCGAUGAUAUCAGCUCAGCUACUUGCUCUAUACUUGCCAUAUUCUUACACACACACUCUCUCUCUCUCUCUUUCGCUUUCGCUUUCUAUGGAUAAUCUAUUUCUCCAGGUAUUUUGUGUUAUUACCAGUCACAGCGAGGAGCACGGUUUGGUCGUCGGAGGAAUAGACUCACGAUGUGUAUGUAAAAUACUGCUUUUAAUUUUGGGCCUUUAAUUUAUUAAUUGGGC